rnacentral:rRNA from 1 species
UACAGAGGUCUCAAGCGUUGUUCGGAUUCAUUGGGCGUAAAGGGCGCGUAGGCGGUGCGGUAAGUCACCUGUGAAACCUCUAGGCUUAACCUAGAGCCUGCAGGCGAAACUGCCGUGCUUGAGGGUGGGAGAGGUGCGUGGAAUUCCCGGUGUAGCGGUGAAAUGCGCAGAUAUCAGGAGGAACACCGAUGGCGAAGGCAGGUCUCUGGGCCAUAACUGACGCUGGAGAAGCGAAAGCAUGGGGAGCGAACAGG